CCGUGGCGGUGUAGGUGGAAGCAGCGGUGGAGGAGGAGGAUGCGGUAGCCAACACUGUUUUUUACACAUAUAUAUAUAUAUAUAUAUAUAUACACAUUUUCUUUAAUUGGGGUAGCCCCCAAAAUAUUGGGACAUAUAAAAAAAAAGACAACUCUGUUCGGCUGUUGACAUUAUAGUUGACAUUAUAGUUGUGCAGGCACUUUGUUGACUCUAGAGAACCUCGGACCAAAUGCACAUCCCCGUGCCGGCGACUUUGCAUGCGGAUGACAUCCAUAUCAACUUUCGAUGCCAGUUUCUGCGCCUACCAUGGUGACCACAGGUAACGGGGAAUUAGGGUUCCAUACCGUACAGGGACCCUGAGAAACGGCUACCACAUGCAAGGAAGGCAGCAGGCACGCAAAUUACCCACUCCCGACAUGGGAAGGUAGUGACGACAAAUAACAAUACAGGACUCUUAAGAGUCCCUGUAAUUGUAAUGAGUUCAAUUGAAAUCUUUUAACUCUGGUCAAUUGGAGGGAAGUCUGGUGCAGAGCCUCUGA